CUUGAACAAGCAUAAACAAGUGAAUGAGAAACCAUGACCUUAUGAUGAGAGUAUUAAACCAUGUAGAUUUUGCUUCUCUCUGCGAUUGUCAUUUUGAAUUUUCUCUCUCACAGUGUUCUGAAGAUCAUGGCUGAAACAGGAUGUGACUGGAAGUAUGAGAUAGUCACAGCCUUCUCCAUCACUGCUGCCCGUGACGAUAGAGUAAUUUAUGUUUAUGGGUUCAUUACCAGCUGUAGCUGCGUCGCAAUAUUAUAGAAAUAUCAAUACUAGAACUUUUUCAUUUUUAAACACACCAGAAAUACCAGCUGAUUUUUUAUUGUAAAAGCAGAACAUCGCUGCAUGGAAGGAUGGUUUGUAAUCAGUGGUUCUUCUUCCUCACAGGCCCCUCAGGUGAUUGUGACGUCUUCUGGCCGUGCAGUCAAAAGGAGAAUCCAGUUGUUAGACGAUGACCCAGCUCAGCAGACCUACAGUCACGAGGUUUACUUUGAUAGAGACACGAUUACUCACACUGUCCAGGAGAAAAAUACUCAUUCUGCUGCCAUGUUUAGAAAAUGAAGAGACCAGCUUCGGAUGAACCAUGAGCACAUUUCAUAGUUCUGUAUGUGAUGAUUAAUAAUGAGCUACAGUGCAUUUCUCCACAAAAAAACAUCAACAACCUUUUAUUAAAUUUUUCUAUUUGGAUUUUAGAGGACUCAAAAGACAUUUCUUUUUAAAUGCAUGAAUCAUGAGUCGUUUGGAUUGAAUAAUGCCGGCCCUGAACAAACAUUUAUCCGUUGAUGGAAUUGAACUUGAAACACUUUUCUGUUUAGUUAUUUUAUUUACUUGUAACUUUACUAAUAAAGACUAGUUUGUGACCAA
rnacentral:lncRNA from 1 species